CUCUGGCUUUCAAAAAAUAGGAACAUGCAUCAUUUGGUAGUCGACAAAAGUAAAAGUAUAAUCCUUUCCUUUCUCUUUUAGCUUUUGCUUUUGUUUCUGUUUCUCACUUUUCUCUUUUCUUUUUAUUUUCUCGAUCUGCUCAGUGCUCCCUCCGUUUGAACUUUGCACUUUACGAGUGGAUUGCCAUGAACCAUCAGAUUACACCCAUCACAUAAGAUAAUUGGAUCUGAUGGAUUUCCAUCUGGGCUCAGCACAAACAAUCCCAUCAUCAACA
rnacentral:lncRNA from 1 species